rnacentral:rRNA from 1 species
CCUACGGGUGGCAGCAGUGAGGAAUAUUGGUCAAUGGACGAGAGUCUGAACCAGCCAAGUAGCGUGAAGGAUGACUGCCCUAUGGGUUGUAAACUUCUUUUAUAUGGGAAUAAAAUGUUCCACGUGUGGGAUUUUGUAUGUACCAUAUGAAUAAGGAUCGGCUAACUCCGUGCCAGCAGCCUCGGUAAUACAGAGGAUCCGAGCGUUAUCCGGAUUUAUUGGGUUUAAAGGGAGCGUAGGUGGAUUGUUAAGUCAGUUGUGAAAGUUUGCGGCUCAACCGUAAAAUUGCAGUUGAAACUGGCAGUCGUGAGUACAGUAGAGGUAGGCGGAAUGCGUGGUGUAGCGGUGAAAUGCUUAGAUAUCACGAAGAACUCCGAUUGCGAAGGCAGCUCACUGGACUGCAACUGACACUGAGGCUCGAAAGUGUGGGUAUCAAACAGGAUUAGAUACCCCUGUAGUC